GGGUUGUGAGGUUAAGCGACUAAGCGUACACGGUGGAUGCCCUGGCAGUCAGAGGCGAUGAAGGACGUGCUAAUCUGCGAUAAGCGUCGGUAAGGUGAUAUGAACCGUUAUAACCGGCGAUUUCCGAAUGGGGAAACCCAGUGUGAUUCGUCACACUAUCAUUAACUGAAUCCAUAGGUUAAUGAGGCGAACCGGGGGAACUGAAACAUCUAAGUACCCCGAGGAAAAGAAAUCAACCGAGAUUCCCCCAGUAGCGGCGAGCGAACGGGGAGCAGCCCAGAGCCUGAAUCAGUGUGUGUGUUAGUGGAAGCGUCUGGAAAGGCGCGCGAUACAGGGUGACAGCCCCGUACACAAAAAUGCACAUGCUGUGAGCUCGAUGAGUAGGGCGGGACACGUGGUAUCCUGUCUGAAUAUGGGGGGACCAUCCUCCAAGGCUAAAUACUCCUGACUGACCGAUAGUGAACCAGUACCGUGAGGGAAAGGCGAAAAGAACCCCGGCGAGGGGAGUGAAAAAGAACCUGAAACCGUGUACGUACAAGCAGUGGGAGCACGCUUAGGCGUGUGACUGCGUACCUUUUGUAUAAUGGGUCAGCGACUUAUAUUCUGUAGCAAGGUUAACCGAAUAGGGGAGCCGAAGGGAAACCGAGUCUUAACUGGGCGUUAAGUUGCAGGGUAUAGACCCGAAACCCGGUGAUCUAGCCAUGGGCAGGUUGAAGGUUGGGUAACACUAACUGGAGGACCGAACCGACUAAUGUUGAAAAAUUAGCGGAUGACUUGUGGCUGGGGGUGAAAGGCCAAUCAAACCGGGAGAUAGCUGGUUCUCCCCGAAAGCUAUUUAGGUAGCGCCUCGUGAAUUCAUCUCCGGGGGUAGAGCACUGUUUCGGCAAGGGGGUCAUCCCGACUUACCAACCCGAUGCAAACUGCGAAUACCGGAGAAUGUUAUCACGGGAGACACACGGCGGGUGCUAACGUCCGUCGUGAAGAGGGAAACAACCCAGACCGCCAGCUAAGGUCCCAAAGUCAUGGUUAAGUGGGAAACGAUGUGGGAAGGCCCAGACAGCCAGGAUGUUGGCUUAGAAGCAGCCAUCAUUUAAAGAAAGCGUAAUAGCUCACUGGUCGAGUCGGCCUGCGCGGAAGAUGUAACGGGGCUAAACCAUGCACCGAAGCUGCGGCAGCGACGCUUAUGUGUUGUUGGGUAGGGGAGCGUUCUGUAAGCCUGCGAAGGUGUGCUGUGAGGCAUGCUGGAGGUAUCAGAAGUGCGAAUGCUGACAUAAGUAACGAUAAAGCGGGUGAAAAGCCCGCUCGCCGGAAGACCAAGGGUUCCUGUCCAACGUUAAUCGGGGCAGGGUGAGUCGACCCCUAAGGCGAGGCCGAAAGGCGUAGUCGAUGGGAAACAGGUUAAUAUUCCUGUACUUGGUGUUACUGCGAAGGGGGGACGGAGAAGGCUAUGUUGGCCGGGCGACGGUUGUCCCGGUUUAAGCGUGUAGGCUGGUUUUCCAGGCAAAUCCGGAAAACUAAGGCUGAGGCGUGAUGACGAGGCACUACGGUGCUGAAGCAACAAAUGCCCUGCUUCCAGGAAAAGCCUCUAAGCAUCAGGUAACAUCAAAUCGUACCCCAAACCGACACAGGUGGUCAGGUAGAGAAUACCAAGGCGCUUGAGAGAACUCGGGUGAAGGAACUAGGCAAAAUGGUGCCGUAACUUCGGGAGAAGGCACGCUGAUAUGUAGGUGAAGUCCCUCGCGGAUGGAGCUGAAAUCAGUCGAAGAUACCAGCUGGCUGCAACUGUUUAUUAAAAACACAGCACUGUGCAAACACGAAAGUGGACGUAUACGGUGUGACGCCUGCCCGGUGCCGGAAGGUUAAUUGAUGGGGUCAGCGCAAGCGAAGCUCUUGAUCGAAGCCCCGGUAAACGGCGGCCGUAACUAUAACGGUCCUAAGGUAGCGAAAUUCCUUGUCGGGUAAGUUCCGACCUGCACGAAUGGCGUAAUGAUGGCCAGGCUGUCUCCACCCGAGACUCAGUGAAAUUGAACUCGCUGUGAAGAUGCAGUGUACCCGCGGCAAGACGGAAAGACCCCGUGAACCUUUACUAUAGCUUGACACUGAACAUUGAGCCUUGAUGUGUAGGAUAGGUGGGAGGCUUUGAAGUGUGGACGCCAGUCUGCAUGGAGCCGACCUUGAAAUACCACCCUUUAAUGUUUGAUGUUCUAACGUUGACCCGUGAUCCGGGUUGCGGACAGUGUCUGGUGGGUAGUUUGACUGGGGCGGUCUCCUCCUAAAGAGUAACGGAGGAGCACGAAGGUUGGCUAAUCCUGGUCGGACAUCAGGAGGUUAGUGCAAUGGCAUAAGCCAGCUUGACUGCGAGCGUGACGGCGCGAGCAGGUGCGAAAGCAGGUCAUAGUGAUCCGGUGGUUCUGAAUGGAAGGGCCAUCGCUCAACGGAUAAAAGGUACUCCGGGGAUAACAGGCUGAUACCGCCCAAGAGUUCAUAUCGACGGCGGUGUUUGGCACCUCGAUGUCGGCUCAUCACAUCCUGGGGCUGAAGUAGGUCCCAAGGGUAUGGCUGUUCGCCAUUUAAAGUGGUACGCGAGCUGGGUUUAGAACGUCGUGAGACAGUUCGGUCCCUAUCUGCCGUGGGCGCUGGAGAACUGAGGGGGGCUGCUCCUAGUACGAGAGGACCGGAGUGGACGCAUCACUGGUGUUCGGGUUGUCAUGCCAAUGGCACUGCCCGGUAGCUAAAUGCGGAAGAGAUAAGUGCUGAAAGCAUCUAAGCACGAAACUUGCCCCGAGAUGAGUUCUCCCUGACUCCUUGAGAGUCCUGAAGGAACGUUGAAGACGACGACGUUGAUAGGCCGGGUGUGUAAGCGCAGCGAUGCGUUGAGCUAACCGGUACUAAUGAACCGUGAGGCUUAACCUUACAACGCCGAAGGUGUUU
rnacentral:rRNA from 1 species